GUCUAAGCGUGCAGUCCCCGAGUUCAGGGGACAGUGGGGAAAGGGCAGAGGGUUCUGCUCGGAGGGGGCAGGGGCCUGUGUCCCUGCAGGAUUCAGAGCAAGCCACCUGCGGCGAAGGCGGUGAGGACAGCGGAGCCAGCAGCCGCCCUCAGCAGAGCCCCUGCGGGGCUUCGGGUUCAGAAGAAAAGAGGCAGGAGAAAGGUGACUGUCACUGUGCAGGGUUCCAGUGCUUUGUAUCAGAGGUGGCUGCCUCCAGAAAAUCACUCUGAGACAAUAUAAAUAUUUCCAGAUUGUCACACUUUUGUUACUGCCUUGACUCAAUGUAUUUAAAACUGCAAAUCAGGCUCAUUAACACACCAGCUCUCAUCCUGAAGGGGAAAUGACAUCAGAGUACAGGCUCCCUGCAGGCAAAGCCACCCCCUGUCUUGCACACACUGAGAUGUUUCAGAUGCACGGGGAGGCCCUGCCCUCAAACACAAGUGACCGCUCUGCUCAGCGCUUCUCGGCCAAGAGCAAGCUUCACAGGGCCAUGCCGAAGUGUGAACUAGGAAGACCAUAAGCUGCCAGCACCCGUUAGAGCAUUCUCACCACAGUCUGGGACAAUCUUAGCAAAGGAAGUAUUUUUCCUGAACAUUGGGAGUAUGGUUAUUUCUUUUCACCUAAAAGUUCACCAGUAACAGGAUGAUUGUGGUGUGAGUUGCACCGUGCAGUAAUGAAUGGUAUGUUUCACCCCCAGUCUCAUGCUACCGAUCUGGUUCUCAGCACUGAUCUGUACUCAGGGAUGCUGAGCAUGAACACCAACCUGCCUUCAAAGAGCGCAGGGUCUGAUAUGCAAAGUAGAACCAGAAAGCAAUCUAUAAGACUGUGUGGCAGGUGCUCUGAUGAUAGCAAGGGCUACGGCGGGAAUUCCAGAGGCAGAGAAAAGAGGCCCCAAGCCUGGUGACAUUAGAGCAGGCUUUUUCAGUUGUUAAGCAUCCCUCCAUGUUCUAUUUCUUUCUAUACGUACACAAAAAUAGAAUAUUCACAUGGAGAGUC